rnacentral:rRNA from 1 species
UCGAGAAUAGUCUACAAUGGACGAAAGUCUGAUAGUGCGACGCCGCGUGAACGAGGAAGCCCUUCGGGGUGUAAAGUUCUUUUAUAUGUGAGCAAUGCUUUAUAUGUGAAUAGCAUAUAGGGAGAGAUAUUAGCAUAUGAAUAAGCAACGGCUAACUCCGUGCCAGCAGCCGCGGUAACACGGGGGUUGCAAGCGUUGUCCGGAAUUACUAGGCGUAAAGGGCAGGUAGGCGGAUACAUAAGUUUGAUGUUAAAGGCAGCGGCUCACCCGCUGUACGGCAUUAGAUACUGUGUAUCUGGAAUGCGGUUGGGGAAGACAGAAUUCCUGGUGUAGCGGUGGAAUGCGCAGAGAUCAGGAGGAAUACCAAAGGCAAGGCAGUCUUCUAAAGCCGUAAAUUGACGC